AGCAGCCGCGGUAAUUCCAGCUCCAAUAGCGUAUAUUAAAGUUGUUGCAGUUAAAAAGCUCGUAGUUGAAUUUCGGGGUCAGUAGGUCGGUCGUGCCACUGGUAUGAACUGGUUUUACUGAUUCCUCCCUCUUGAAGAACUGUAAUGCCAUUAAUUUGGUGUUGCAGGGAAUCAGGACUGUUACUUUGAAAAAAUUAGAGUGUUUAAAGCAGGCUUUAGCUUGAAUACAUUAGCAUGGAAUAAUGAAAUAGGACGUUUGAUCCUAUUUUGUUGGUUUCUAGGAUUGACGUAAUGAUUAAUAGGGAUAGUUGGGGGCAUUAGUAUUCAAUUGUCAGAGGUGUAAUUCUUGGAUUUAUUGAAGACUAACUACUGCGAAAGCAUUUGCCAAGGAUGUUUUCAUUAAUCAAGAACGAAAGUUAGGGGAUCGAAGACGAUCAGAUACCGUCGUAGUCUUAACCAUAAACUAUGCCGACUAGGGAUCGGAUGAUGUUAAUUUUUUAAUGACUCA
rnacentral:rRNA from 1 species